CUCGUAGGCGGUUCGUCGCGUCCGGUGUGAAAGUCCAUCGCUUAACGGUGGAUCCGCGCCGGGUACGGGCGGGCUUGAGUGCGGUAGGGGAGACUGGAAUUCCCGGUGUAACGGUGGAAUGUGUAGAUAUCGGGAAGAACACCAAUGGCGAAGGCAGGUCUCUGGGCCGUCACUGACGCUGAGGAGCGAAGGCGUGGGGAGCAACA
rnacentral:rRNA from 1 species